AUUGAACGCUGGCGGCAUGCCUUCAACACUGGGAUAACUCCGGGAAACCGGGGCUAAUACCGGAUAUGAAACCUGCGGGCAUCCGCGGGUUUGGAAAGUUUUCGGUUGAAGAUGACUUCGCGGCCUAUCAGCUUGUUGGUGAGGUAAUGGCUCACCAAGGCGACGACGGGUAGCCGGCCUGAGAGGGCGACCGGCCACACUGGGACUGAGACACGGCCCAGACUCCUACGGGAGGCAGCAGUGGGGAAUUUUGGACAAUGGGGGAAACCCUGAUCCAGCAAUGCCGCGUGAGUGAAGAAGGCCUUCGGGUUGUAAAGCUCUUUUGUCAGGGAAGAAACACCGGCUCUAACACAGUCCGGGAAUGACGGUACCUGAAGAAUAAGCACCGGCUAACUACGUG
rnacentral:rRNA from 1 species